rnacentral:rRNA from 1 species
AUUGAACGCUGGCGGCAGGCCUAACACAUGCAAGUCGAACGGUAACAGGAAACAGCUUGCUGUUUCGCUGACGAGUGGCGGACGGGUGAGUAAUGUCUGGGAAACUGCCUGAUGGAGGGGGAUAACUACUGGAAACGGUAGCUAAUACCGCAUAACGUCGCAAGACCAAAGAGGGGGACCCUCGGGCCUCUUGCCAUCGGAUGUGCCCAGAUGGGAUUAGCUUGUUGGUGGGGUAACGGCUCACCAAGGCGACGAUCCCUAGCUGGUCUGAGAGGAUGACCAGCCACACUGGAACUGAGACACGGUCCAGACUCCUACGGGAGGCAGCAGUGGGGAAUAUUGCACAAUGGGCUCAAGCCUGAUGCAGCCAUGCCGCGUGUAUGAAGAAGGCCUUCGGGUUGUAAAGUACUUUCAGCGGGGAGGAAGGGAGUAAAGUUAAUACCUUUGCUCAUUGACGUUACCCGCAGAAGAAGCACCGGCUAACUCCGUG